rnacentral:lncRNA from 15 species
CAAUGGCAGCAGCAGCUUUGUCCAGAAGCAGAGGAGUGGCUGGUGUCACAACCACCAGAGGCCUGUUCUUCAUCUUCUCCCUACUGUGUCUGGUUUGCCUCGCAAGUUCAUUCAUUGACAAGGACACACUGGAAAAUAUGAGGGAAGAGCUUCAGGAAUUAGAACAACAACAGGACCAUUUGAAGGCAGAAACGGACACCACUUUGGAGCUAAUGAAUGAAUUUUUGAAUCACUUGGACCCACUGAUUGCAGUUGCGAAGAAAACAUCUGUCUUUCCGGGACUGGAGGGACUUCUGAAGGACAUGAAGGAUGUAAUGGAGAGAAGCAAAGAGCAGUUGGAGGGGUUAGGUGCAAAAAUGGAGAACACUAAACAGUUAUUGGGAAAAAAUAAGAAAAUAAUCAAUUUCCUUGAGGAGCUUCAAGCUGAAUUGUAACUUCCAUGUCAAUUAGUGCCUCUAUCUCUGAUAUUGCAUCUAUUGCAUCUGUUAUGUUUAUCUUACAUAGUGUGCAGCUUCAUUUGAAUGUCUCUAUGGACUGGCUUUGANNNNNNNNNNNNNNNNNNNNUGUUAAUCAGAAUAAAUAUUCGGUACUCUACUAAACUAUAGAUUAAUUCCCAAAUCCCUACUGACAGUUUCUCUUGAAGUGAAAGAAAAAGGUAGAGGACAGGCAGGGAGACUUCAGUACUGAAAUGUCCUGCACAUAUUCACAUUCUUAUAAACAAUCAUACACCUACAGGAACAGAUGCAUGCAGGUGAGUGGUGCAGUGGGUGAGGUGACACCAGGUAUAUCUGGAAAUAAUACAAAUAUUUCUUGACAUAAGUGUCUUUUAUCAGAAAAGAACAACUGAUCAUUUCUAAUGAAAAGAAAGUGAGCAUGUUAUCUGAGGAAGAUCAACAGUUUCAUCACUUUCUGUGACUCCUAUAUAUUGUGUAAUAUCACACACACACACACACACACACACACACACACACACACACACACACACACACACACACACACACACACACACUAGUAGAGGUUAGUUAUGCAGUGAGGGAGGCGACACCUGGAGUAUAUAAAGCCUGUUUUUGGUGUGUCAUCUCAUCAUUUCUUCCUUCUUCACCUGUACAAGUUCAUUCAUUGACGAGGACCAACUG